AUCUAAAAUAAUAUACCGAGACCUUUCCAUAAAUAUUUAUAUGUACAAAGUUACAUAGAAUAUAUAUGGGGUAGCGGAACAUUGGGCAUAUCUCAGAUUUUUUCUUUUUAAGACUUAAGAUUAGAUUACCCAAGUGAUAAUGCUGACAUGAGUAACGAUAAAGGGUUUAUACCCUCGCCUAAAGCUUAGGAAUUUACUUAAAGUAACGGCCUCUAAGUUUAAGUCUGCUUACUUGUAAUAACUAGUAUCUUGUUGUUGAUACAAGUAAGUAAACAUCCUAAAGGUAUAAACGAUGAGAAAAUAAAAACUUAGUUUUACAGAUAAAAUAUAAGCCUAUAAGGUGAACAAAUUUAGAUAGGUUUAUCUAUAUAAGGUACUAGAUAACUAAAUUAUAAUUAUAUAUAUUAUAGAAAUAGCAUUUGUAACAAACGGUGUUGAUGUAAGAAUUGCUUAUCAUCAUCUUUUAGAUGAAGUGAAGUAAUUGUUAUAUAAAAAGCAAUCAAUAAGUUGUCAAAACAAAGUGAGAAAUGCUCUGGAAAAAUGGAAAACUUUGUCGUGAUUUAUAUCUGAGAUAGUUAUAUAUAAGGCGGAUCGUCCCUUGUAUAUGCCUAUUAAGGCUAUAGUUGCGA
rnacentral:rRNA from 1 species